GGGUCAGAACGCGGGGGGGAAAAUACGACCUGCGAACACGUAAAAACAACCGAGUGUUGCGUGGGUUAAGCAAUUGUCUCUAAAUGGUUCUUCUUUGUUGAUGUGNAUUUACUUGUGUUCCUCUUUAAGAUUCCUGAAUGUUUCAUUGACGCAAUAACAAUCCUCGGCACAAUGUGUGCCAAGGAAAACUAAACUUGCCAAGGAUUGUUUCAUGUUGUGCCGUUCGCGGUGUGCUCAUGGGAUGUGGCUUCUUUUUAAUUACAAACGAUUCUGGGCAACGGAUAUCUUGGCUCAUGCAUCGAUGAAGAACGUAGCAAAAUGCGAUACUUGGUGUGAAUUGCAGAAUCCCGUGAACCAUCGAGUUUUUGAACGCAAGUUGCGCCCGAAGCCUUUUGGUCGAGGGCACGUCUGCCUGGGCGUCACGUAUUGCGUCACCCCCAACAAAUCUCUGUUGGGGGCGGAUAUUGGUCUCCCGUGCUCACGGUGUGGUUGACCAAAAUAUGAGUUCCUUCGAUGGACACACGAACUAGUGGUGGUCGUAAAAACUCUCGUUCUUUGUUCUGUGUUAGUAGCAAGGAAAAAAUUAUCAAAUACUCAAAUGUGUUGUGUUAGGAUGACGCUUUGACGGCGACCCCAGGUCAGGCGGGAAUUAUCCGCUGAGUUUAAGAAUAAAAAUAAGAGAGGAAA
rnacentral:rRNA from 1 species